AAUGAACGUUGGUGGCGUGGAUUAGGCAUGCAAGUCGAGCGACGGGGCCCUUCGGGGUCUACGGAGCGGCAAACGGGGUAGUAAGGCAUCGGAACGUACCCUUGGGUCUGGGAUAGCCACGGGAAACUGUGGGUAAUACCGGAUGAUCUCUAGCGAGCAAAGAUUUAUCGCCCAAGGAGCGGCCGAUGUGGUAUUAGGUAGUUGGCGGGGUAAUGGCCCACCAAGCCUGAGAUGCCUAGGGGGUGUGAGAGCACGACCCCCACCACUGGGACUGAGACACUGCCCAGACACCUACGGGUGGCUGCAGUCGAGAAUCUUCGUCAAUGGGCGAAAGCCUGAACGAGCGACGCCACGUGCGGGAUGAAGGCCCUUGGGUUGUAAACCGCUGUCAGGGGGGAUGAAAGCGUAAGCUUGACAGAGCCCCAGAGGAAGCGCGGGCUAAGUACGUGCCAGCAGCCGCAGUAACAC
rnacentral:rRNA from 1 species